GAUUAUCCUUUUUAUUGAUGAGGUGCACACAUUAAUUGGAGCAGGGGCUGCAGAAGGAGCUAUUGAUGCAGCAAAUAUAUUGAAACCUGCCCUCGCAAGAGGUGAACUGCAGUGCAUUGGAGCCACGACAUUGGAUGAAUACAGGAAGCACAUUGAAAAAGACCCAGCCUUAGAAAGGAGAUUUCAGCCAGUCAAAGUGCCGGAACCAUCUGUGGAUGAAACCAUA
rnacentral:misc_RNA from 1 species